AUGUUCCGGGCGGUUCCAGAUGUGCCGCGGGGCCGGCGACAGGACUCUCCUCCUCCCCAGCCCCAGCCUGGAGCUCAGCUCGCGUCGCCUGGCUCCCGCGGCUGCGCUCCGCAAGGGGGAACUCCUCGCAGUGCUGGGAAGAGAGGUAUGGAGGAGCGCUUGGUGUGCUUACCCAGGAGUGGGUGCCCUAGGGGGUCGUGGCGGGUGCGAGAAGCGUCGUCCCCCUCGGACUCCGGCGCUCCCAGCCCUAGCGGGUCCCUGCUGAGCGGCUGCCCUUUGCCCGCGACCACUGCUCACCUCCCGGGGAGCUCGCCAGGCGUGUCCUGCUUGCCCUGGUGCCCCGGCCUGCCCAGGGAGCGGCGAGCGCGGUUUCCAGCGGGCCCCGGAGCACUCCGGCUGGGCGAGCGGCGAAGGCGCCCUCUUCUGAAGCGGCGCGAGAAGGACGCCGGGGAUCCUAGCAAGCGGCGGCCGGCUCAGGACACGCGCGGACUCAGGCGCGGAUUCCGGCUGCCCUCGGCUGCGCUCAGUUCCUGGGGCCUGCGCUCGCCGCUUGCCGCUCGCCGGAGCUCUCCUCCUCGCCGGGCGCGAUCUCUGGCGCCGGCCUCCGAAACUGCUUUAUAAGGCGCCGGCGGCCGCUUUGAUCCGCCCACGUCAGCGCGCCGCAACCCCACCGGGUGGCCCUGGCCGCGCACGGGGGACGGGGGCGGGGUCCCCGCGGACGCCACUGACCUGCGGCGCUCGCCGCUCCAGAGAACUUUGCACUCUGUCGAGUUACAAAGGGGGACUCGCUCACUACAGCUGGUGUUUACUAAGCGUGCGUGCUGCGUGCCUGGGACACGCGUGGGGCCCGGGUAAGGCCAUUCUCGAAUCGUCGCAGCAACUAGGCAAGGAGCCUCAACCCGCCAGAGGGAAGUCAGACUUGGGUCUCAGUCAUGGAGCCGGCAUCCUUAGUUGUUGGUCCCGCAGCGUGAUUACUGUAGGCGUCGGAGUUCCCGAAACUUGCCUUUGCGUGCUAGUCCUGGCCAUCUCUUCAAGCCUCUGGUUCCAGUCGUGGAAAACGAAUCAACGAUCCUGCGGGAGAAAGAGACACGAGGACUCGGCGCUGCAAAGCCCGCUGCUGUAAACCUUAGGUGUGGAGCCGGGUAGCUUUCCAGCCACUGGGGUGACUGCUGGGGACUGUUCUGGACACACGGAAGCGGGAGCAGAGGAGGACAGGGUUUCGGAAGCCAAAGGAGCUUAGAGAGGCGCCUCCUGCACGGCAUAGCCUGAGCGCGUGGUGCUUCUGGAACCACUUCUUCCCUCGCUUGGUCUUCCCUGACCAGACCAGCUGCUUACCCCGCAGCACCACUAUGAUUUUCAGCUGCCCAUCGCGUGCUAUCAGUUCAUUCGUGUCUCCCCCUCCUUCUAGGGACCUCAAUCCCAGGACGUUCUCAAGGAUAACUAGUUCAUUAGCAGAAAGGGAAAUGGAAACUAGUGCGGACACGGAGCCUGUCUCAGGUCCCCCAAAAUGCCUGACAUUCUUUUCCCCAUUCCUUGCAGCUGCACAUGAAAUGGCGCUCCUAGGCUUCCCCACACCCAGCCACAGCUACCUCCACAUACAACACAAACAUCUGGGCCCACAGUGCCCACAGCAGCCUCCCAGCCACACCAGUACUCCCACACAGCCAGUCUUCACAUACAGGCUGGGGCAUAUCACCCCACAGAUGGUUACUGAGACACUUGGGAGAUACCAGAACACAUCAUCUGCCCUCACACACAGUAGCACAGAGGUUCAAAAUGGCUGCACACACAUCAUGAAGGGAGGCAGCACACAGACCACCUGUGCCCAAAGAGUUCAUGGGCAAACAUGCAUGAGCUUCCAUGAACACACAGCUCCCAAGUGUACAACGCCAAACAUGUACUCCUGCAUACAAUCACAGGAAUAGCCUUUGGAACAUAUGCUGGGACACCCCCAUCUCUUAUCCCAGACCACUGGGGCAAUCCGAUCAAAAAAGCAGUAGAGGCCAGGUGUGGUGGCUUACACCUGUAAUCCCAGAACUUUGGGAGGCCGAUGUGGGUGGAUCACAAGGUCAGGAGUUUGAGACCAGCCUGGCCAACAUGGUGAAACCCUGUCUCUACUAAAGAUACAAAAAAUUAGCCGGGUAUGGCAGCGGGCACCUGUAAUCUCAGCUACUCCGGAGGCUGAGGCAGGAGAAUCACUUGAACCUGGGAGGUGGAGGUUGCAGUAAGCCGAGAUCGUGCCAUUGCACUCCAGCCUGGGCGACUGAGUGAGACUCCAUCUCAGAAAAAAGAAAAGAAAAAGCAGUGGAAAGACAGUGGGGCUUGGGGCAUUGAGGAAGGGGAGAAGACAGGGGCUAUUUCACCUAAGAAGUGUGGGAGGGCAAAGGCCUCUGGGGGUCCAAGAGUGUCCUUAGCUCCCCUCUGGCCACCUCAGAACCAUUCCAGGUGGCCUCUGUCUGACUGGGAUGCGCACCCCUCUGCUCAUUUAAGAGGCUCAGUCAGUUGCCUCUAAACAUUUGCAGGAGUCCUCCUGCCAGAAAUCUCCUCUGGCUCCCUGCUAGAGUAGAAAUGGAAGCAAUCUGGAGUCACGUGAACUUGGAUUCCAAUACAGAUUUUGCCCAAUUUUAUUUUUAUUUUAUUUUUAGCUGUGUAACCUUGAGCAAGUUGCUUAAAUUCCCCAAGACUUAGUUUUCUCAUCCACAAUAUUGGAAUAAUACAAUCCAUGGAAUCCUUUACAUCUCCAAGAUCAGGAUUAGUAUUCCCAUUUCGCAGAUGUGGAAGCUGAGGCUCAAACAGGAGCUGAUAUUUGAACCCAGAUCUCUCUGGCUCAGUGUCCACUACCACUGGUGGCCCCCAGUGAACAGAAGGGGAAAGUAUAGUGACUUUCCAUUGUCUUCUGGGGAGUUGAGGGAAGCCAGGAGAACAUCCCAGACUCCUGAAGCCCCCCCUGCCUGCUCCUGCCGCCUGCCAGCUACUCAGAUGUGUCCUGUGGAUCGGGACCCAGGCAUCAGCCAGGACUGGAAACCUGCCCUGGGGGUGGGAGCAGGGAGAGAGCUAUAAGAAGUAAUGCCAAAAGCUUGCAUUGAAAGUCAAGGGAGACUUGGGGUGAAGGUCUGCCCCUCCCUGCACCCAAGCCUCCCUAUUUGUAUAAUAAGCAGUACUUGAGAAUAAUUUUGUUUUCAUCCUUAGAACCAACUGACCUUCCCCGCUUCCCUUCUCUUCUACUUCCCUCUGUCCAGUCCUCCUUGAGGGCCACUGUGUAUCAGGCCUGUGCUGGCCACCUGGGCUGCAGGCUUCUCUUCAUCGGGGACGAGGCCCCAUGCCCCUGGCUGUGGACAUGGACGUGAAUAUAUUUUUCUUCUCAAUCAGCCCAGGCGAUUCUGGUGAUCUGAUCGCCCAGAAAUGCUGGGGGCUUCCUGUCAGCUGGCUUCUCAGCCCCUGCCUGACUGCCAUUCGCCAGGGGCACACCCCUUCCCCCCACCCCCAUCCCUGCACCCGCCCUGCGCAGGAGGCACCCAGGCUGAAAGGACAUGGAGGUGAGGGAGGACACACUUCCGUUCGCCAUGCUGACCUCUAGUGACCCCUCUGCCCACCUCAACUUCCUUUCCUUGAGGCCAAAGCCUUGAUGGAGACGGUGGAGGGCAGUCACCUGUUUCCAGAGGCCCCAGAUGGGGGUGCAGGGGAACUGGUUACAGUCCUGAGCCCCAUCACUAGUUUGCUGUGUGAUGGCAGGUAGUUAUUUUGCUGUGUCUGAGCCCCAGUCGCCCAUUUGUAAGUGAAGGAUUGAACAAUAUAACCUCUGAGGGCCGCCCACAUAUCUUGGGGCUCCUGACCAAAGGAUGCUAUGUGACCACAACCCCAGAUGUACCCCAAAGCCUUCUCUGUCUUCCCUAAGCCUGUACCCCUACUCAGACCUCAGCACUUUAUCCCUUCCACAACAACAAAGGCUGGUCCGGAGAAAGCGGAAACCAGCCAGUAAAGAGAAGGGUCAAGAUCACCCACUCUGGACCAUGACUUCGUGGUGUGUGAAGGGGAGCAUGGUGGGGCUCACCGCUGUCACCUCGCCAAGGGAAUAAAAAGACAGUGACAGCUAGGCA
rnacentral:lncRNA from 13 species